AUUGAACGCUGGCGGCAGGCUUAACACAUGCAAGUCGAGCGGAGAUGAGGUGCUUGCACCUUAUCUUAGCGGCGGACGGGUGAGUAAUGCUUAGGAAUCUGCCUAUUAGUGGGGGACAACAUUCCGAAAGGAAUGCUAAUACCGCAUACGUCCUACGGGAGAAAGCAGGGGAUCUUCGGACCUUGCGCUAAUAGAUGAGCCUAAGUCGGAUUAGCUAGUUGGUGGGGUAAAGGCCUACCAAGGCGACGAUCUGUAGCGGGUCUGAGAGGAUGAGCGGCACAACUGGGACUGAGACACGGCCCAGACUCCUACGGGAGGCAGCAGUGGGGAAUAUUGGACAAUGGGGGGAACCCUGAUCCAGCCAUGCCGCGUGUGUGAAGAAGGCCUUAUGGUUGUAAAGCACUUUAAGCGAGGAGGAGGCCACUGAGACUAAUACUCUUGGAUAGUGGACGUUACUCGCAGAAUAAGCACCGGCUAACUCUGUGCCAGCCGCCGCGGUAA
rnacentral:rRNA from 1 species